CAGACGGUAGUCGCAGAUGGUAGGUGCCCACAGCCACAGCAGCAACUUUUGCCCCGUUGCCAACCCGAAGGGUUACCGCACCUUCCGCCAGCAUUUUACUUUCAUUUAGACCCUGCAUGGUAGUGCACAAAUGAGCACUAGAACCAGAAUCUAUAACCCAACUAGAAGUAGAAGAAACUAUUAAAUUAGUUUCAAUUAUGAGCAAGUCUAUACCUUCUGAAGGUGUGUCACCUUUCUUGUUCUUUAGGCUCUCGAGGUAUGAAGGACAGUUUCUCUUCCAGUGGCCGUCGACAUUGCAGUGGAAACAUUUUCCUUUGUCAUUAGCCUUUUUCUUUUGAACUUCCUUCUUUGGCUUCUUGUCUUUCUUCUGCUUCUUAGCAGGCUUCUUUUUCUUCCAAGUAGACUUUCUCUUGGAACCAGAAGUCAACU
rnacentral:lncRNA from 1 species